UACGGAGGUCUCAAGCGUUGUUCGGAUUCAUUGGGCGUAAAGGGUGCGUAGGCGGCGCGGUAAGUCCGCUGUGAAAGUCGGGGGCUCAACCCUCGGAUGCCGGUGGAUACUGUCGGGCUUGAGUACGGAAGAGGCGAGUGGAAUUCCUGGUGUAGCGGUGAAAUGCGCAGAUAUCAGGAGGAACACCAAUUGCGAAGGCAGCUCGCUGGGACGUUACUGACGCUGAGACGCGAAAGCGUGGGGAGCAAACAGG
rnacentral:rRNA from 1 species